rnacentral:rRNA from 1 species
UACGGAGGGUGCAAGCGUUAUCCGGAUUCACUGGGUUUAAAGGGUGCGUAGGUGGGUUGGUAAGUCAGUGGUGAAAUCUCCGUGCUUAACAUGGAACUGCCAUUGAUACUACUAGUCUUGAAUCUUCCGGAGGUCAGCGGAAUAUGUCAUGUAGCGGUGAAAUGCUUAGAUAUGACAUAGAACACCAAUUGCGAAGGCAGCUGACUACAGGGGCAUUGACACUGAGGCACGAAAGCGUGGGGAUCAAACAGG